CCUACGGGGGGCAGCAGUGAGGAAUAUUGGUCAAUGGGCGCGAGCCUGAACCAGCCAAGUCGCGUGAGGGAAGACGGUCCUAUGGAUUGUAAACCUCUUUUGUCGGGGAGCAAAAGACGCCACGCGUGGCGUUCCGAGAGUACCCUACGAACAAGCAUCGGCUAACUCCGUGCCAGCAGCCGCGGUAAUACGGAGGAUGCGAGCGUUAUCCGGAUUUAUUGGGUUUAAAGGGUGCGCAGGCGGAAGAUCAAGUCAGCGGUAAAAUUGAGAGGCUCAACCUCUUCGAGCCGUUGAAACUGGUGUUCUUGAGUGAGCGAGAAGUAUGCGGAAUGUGUGGUGUAGCGGUGAAAUGCAUAGAUAUCACGCAGAACUCCGAUUGCGAAGGCAGCAUACCGGCGCUCAACUGACGCUCAUGCACGAAAGUGUGGGUAUCGAACAGGAUUAGAUACCCGGGUAGUC
rnacentral:rRNA from 1 species